UGUUCAGUAGCACCUUAGAGACCAACUAAGUUUGUUCUGGGUAUAAGCUUUCGUGAGAACAAACCAGAACAAACUUAGUUGGUCUCUAAGGUGCUACUGGACA